GGUGUCUCCAUGGUGACCUCUCUGAGCCAUGAGGUCGGAACUGUGGGAUUAGUGACAUCCCACGACUGGAGCAACCAUAGUGCAGAGAACAGCUUUGACUGCUGUGGUUCCGGGAGAAACUUUCCAGGACCCAUGCAUGAGCACAGCUGUUUUUCCUGAUCAGGAUCCUUGCAGCACCCAAGUGA